UACGUAGGGGGCAAGCGUUGUCCGGAAUCAUUGGGCGUAAAGAGCGUGUAGGCGGCUCGGUAAGUCCGCUGUGAAAGUCCAGGGCUCAACCCUGGAAUGCCGGUGGAAACUGCCGAGCUAGAGUCCGGAAGAGGCGAGUGGAAUUCCUGGUGUGGCGGUGAAAUGCGCAGAUAUCAGGAGGAACACCAAUGGCGAAGGCAGCUCGCUGGGACGGUACUGACGCUGAGACGCGAAAGCGUGGGGAGCAAACAGG
rnacentral:rRNA from 1 species